ACGGUGCUGCGUCUCCCUCUGUUUCUUGCAUCAGCUGGAGAGUUCCGUUUUUCUCCCCUGUUUUGCUGUAGAUUCUAUCUUCUUUGCUGCCUCUGCCAUUACUGGUGUUUAAGGGUGUGUGGAAGAACAAGACCCUGAAAAGACUUAAAAGAAGAAUACUUUCGGGAGUUAGAACUUCAACAGAUUGGUUAGCUGACGCCGAUUCCACCAACGACCUCAAAAAGGGGCAACUAGCUACAGUGGGU